GCAAAUACAGUUUAACAAAAACAUUAGACUGUGAAUCUAAAUACAGGAGUUCAAACCCCCUUAUAUGCC
ensembl:Mt_tRNA